rnacentral:rRNA from 1 species
UACGUAGGGGGCUAGCGUUGUCCGGAAUCAUUGGGCGUAAAGGGCGCGUAGGUGGCCCGGUCAGUUCGUGGUGAAAGCGCGGGGCUCAACCCUGCGUCGGCCAUGAAUACUGCCGCGGCUGGAGCACUGUAGAGGCAGGCGGAAUUCCGGGUGUAGCGGUGGAAUGCGUAGAGAUCCGGAAGAACACCGGUGGCGAAGGCGGCCUGCUGGGCAGUUGCUGACACUGAGGCGCGACAGCGUGGGGAGCAAACAGGG